rnacentral:rRNA from 1 species
UACAGAGGGUGCAAGCGUUAAUCGGAUUUACUGGGCGUAAAGCGUGCGUAGGCGGUUCAUUAAGUCGGUUGUGAAAUCCCUGGGCUUAACCUGGGAACUGCAGUCGAUACUGAUGGACUAGAGUACGGUAGAGGGUGGCGGAACUCCGGGUGUAGCGGUGAAAUGCGUAGAUAUCCUGAAGAACACCGAUGGCGAAGGCAACCACCUGGGCCUGUACUGACGCUGAGGUACGAAAGCGUGGGGAGCAAACAGG